AGGGAAGUAGAUUAAGUAGAUCGAGUGGUCUUCAAAACCACCAGGUAUUGGUUCGAAUCCGGUCUUCCUUG
rnacentral:tRNA from 1 species